rnacentral:rRNA from 1 species
UACGGAGGGUGCAAGCGUUAUCCGGAUUCACUGGGUUUAAAGGGUGCGUAGGUGGGUUGGUAAGUCAGUGGUGAAAUCUCCAGGCUUAACUUGGAAACUGCCAUUGAUACUAUCAAUCUUGAAUACCGUGGAGGUCAGCGGAAUAUGUCAUGUAGCGGUGAAAUGCUUAGAUAUGACAUAGAACACCAAUUGCGAAGGCAGCUCGCUACACUACUAUUGACACUGAGGCACGAAAGCGUGGGGAUCAAACAGG